GCCCUCAUGGUGUAAUGGUAACACGAAGGUCUCAUAAACCAUGAGCUUCAAUUCGAAGCGCAAUCCUCAGCCCUGAGUUCGAUUCUCAGUGAGGGCA
rfam:Cryptococcus amylolentus CBS 6039 supercont1.11, whole genome shotgun sequence.